CCUACGGGAGGCUGCAGUGGGGAAUAUUGGGCAAUGGGCGCAAGCCUGACCCAGCAACGCCGCGUGAAGGAAGAAGGCUUUCGGGUUGUAAACUUCUUUUCUCAGGGACGAAGCAAGUGACGGUACCUGAGGAAUAAGCCACGGCUAACUACGUGCCAGCAGCCGCGGUAAUACGUAGGUGGCAAGCGUUAUCCGGAUUUACUGGGUGUAAAGGGCGUGUAGGCGGGACUGCAAGUCAGAUGUGAAAACCACGGGCUCAACCUGUGGCCUGCAUUUGAAACUGUAGUUCUUGAGUACUGGAGAGGUAAGUGGAAUUCCUAGUGUAGCGGUGAAAUGCGUAGAUAGUAGGAGGAACACCAGUGGCGAAGGCGGCUUACUGGACUGUAACUGACGUUGAGGCUCGAAAGCGUGGGGAGCAAACAGGAUUAGAUACCCGGGUAGUC
rnacentral:rRNA from 1 species